AUGUCAAGCAUUGUUUAGUCAAUGGCAGGUGUUCUCGCGAGCUGUUCGGCGGUUCUCGCGACUUGGUGCAUGCCGCCGUUAAGCUUGAUCUGAACUUGCGAGUUGGUGUUGGGAAGGACUGACCCGGGCUGCUGCUUUAUGCACAAUUGCAAAUGGACGCCGCACAGUCGACCCGUUGAACAGAUUUGUCAGUUGGUAAAUAUAUUUAUAUCGAUUAAACAUGGUAAGAUGACGGACCAUGCAUCGCCUAUUAAUCAUUACGUACCUGUACGCUCGGCUCCUGCUGCUGAGACCAAAUGACAAAAACGACCUUAAAUUAAAACAGCAAAAUGUUAUCGAGAUUAAAUUACUUGAAUUAAUUUCAGGGUUGCUAACAAUUUGCGGUUUCUGCGUGAGGUUU
rnacentral:lncRNA from 1 species